CUCUUUGUAACCUCUGACUGAUAAGGCGCAUUGUGACCCAGAAGAAAACUGAAAAUGACCAAGGAGUCAGAGGAUCUCUGUAGGCUCCAUGCACUCAAGGUAAAUCUUGCUGGAACAUGGCUGAGAAAUGGGUUGUCUCUCAAAAUGAACUCUCAGACCUAGCUGUUCAUCCAAGGGAAUUACAGAUUUGAAAAAGGAGAAGGGAGUUUGCUACUCACUGUUAGAUAGUGUUCCUGUGAUUAAAAACAACCUCUGUGUUUCAGGGGGAAAGCAGAUAACAAUGCUUUAAACUGAACCAGUUCCUCAAAGAGCUCAGAUCCUAUCUGUGGUCUUUGCUUAUUGCUUCGUAUUUUUUUGUCUCGGUCUAGCUGAAACUGUCAGCUCUCUGACUCAUUUCAGAUCGUGGGCCCUGGACACACUGGAGCUGUGGCACACAGUGGUGCUUGAUGAAAUGUCCACAAAGAAGAAAGAAAAGAAGAAAGUCUCAACAAAGUACAGCACUACAGGAUGCAAAUAUCCAAGCCUUGCCUCUUCUCCAAAGAUUCUCUGUCUCAUGAAGACUUGCUUGGUCUCCUGA
rnacentral:lncRNA from 1 species